GACGAACGCUGGCGGCGUGCCUAAUACAUGCAAGUAGAACGCUGAAGAGAGGAGCUUGCUCUUCUUGGAUGAGUUGCGAACGGGUGAGUAACGCGUAGGUAACCUGCCUUGUAGCGGGGGAUAACUAUUGGAAACGAUAGCUAAUACCGCAUAACAAUGGAUGACACAUGUCAUUUAUUUGAAAGGGGCAAUUGCUCCACUACAAGAUGGACCUGCGUUGUAUUAGCUAGUAGGUGAGGUAAUGGCUCACCUAGGCGACGAUACAUAGCCGACCUGAGAGGGUGAUCGGCCACACUGGGACUGAGACACGGCCCAGACUCCUACGGGAGGCAGCAGUAGGGAAUCUUCGGCAAUGGGGGCAACCCUGACCGAGCAACGCCGCGUGAGUGAAGAAGGUUUUCGGAUCGUAAAGCUCUGUUGUAAGUCAAGAACGGGUGUGAGAGUGGAAAGUUCACACGGUGACGGUAGCUUACCAGAAAGGGACGGCUAACUACGUG
rnacentral:rRNA from 1 species